UCAGGACACAGCAUGGACAUGAGGGCCCCUGCUCAGCUCCUGGGGCUACUUCUGCUCUGCCUCCCAGGUGGCAGAAGUGACAUCCAGAUGACACAGUCUCCAUCUCUUCUGUCAGUAUCUCGAGGUGACAGAGUCACCAUCACCUGCAGGGCAAGUCAGGGCAU